AAUAAGCCACUUGAGUUAGCAUAAUGCAAGAAACUUGUUGAAGCAUAAGUAAAAUGUUUUUAUCAUGCCUUUAUAACCCAGGAAACUGCCAAAAGGGCAACUUGAAUCUCUUAAAGUCAAUUAAUCUCUGUCUAUGAAAAAAUAGGAAAGAUGCUAAGUCAGGAAAAAUAUAUUAGUUGUAGGUGUCUGUAAAAGCCAAAUUUAUUAAAAAGCAUAACCUGAGCCCUAACUGUAACACUUUGCCACAAUGCUAUAAUUAAUGGCCAAUGAAUUAGUUUUACAGCUAAUGUAUGUACUCAGACAUUUACUGCUUUCACCAAGUGUGUUUUACCAUUUCUUUUUUACAUUCAGUAUUCCCAUUUAUUUGUUCAUGCAAAGUAAGUUAAUACUUUUUUAAAGACCUUAAAGACAUGCUUUUCAGCUGAAAGGGCAGUUUAAAGUACAUUGUGUUCAGAACAAAACAGUGUUUUAUGUACUAUGUCAGCAGCUAAAUUGAGAAUUUGAUGCUUUUUUCCCCUUUGUCCCAUUAAUUGCUUUUAGGUAUUUCUGAGAAGUGCAAGUGCCUCACCAGGCACAAUUCUCCCAUUUGAGUGAAGUUUAAAUACUGUAUAAAGCUUUCCUACUGUACAGAGUUAUGUGAACUUGCAAAAAUAUUUAGGAAUGUAAGACCAGAAUGGGUUGCAGCCAGCCUGAACUUCCUGGGAUAAAAAUAAAAUUUGUUCAGCUCUCCCUCUCCUCAUACACACCAAAAAUGAGCCAGUCCAUUAACAGCUUUCCAGCACUCCAUUAAGAACACUGGAACUUCAGUUCAGUAUAAUGGCUUUAAAACUUCUAAUGUGUCACAAAGGAAUAAAUUGUAAUGUGCCACAGGUUGGGUUUUUAAAUUUUUCUUUUAUGUGUCUUUGCGACUGUAACCAAUAAAUCCUUAUCAGCCUUUCUGACACUUCCUUCAGCCAUGACUGUGCCAGCAGCAUUCACCAACACAGGCACUGAUUUUUCAGUGCUGGACUGGAGCAGGUUACCAGGGUAAACUAUCCAAUACACCCCUUCUCAGCCUUUUUUAGCAAAACAGGAGGAGCAGGGGAAACUCUUGAAGCCAUGUUUUGCAUCAAACAACAAAUUAAUAAAUGUUGCUGGUCCUGGAACAUGCCUGGGGAGGAUUCAGCUCUGAAUAUGCAGAAAUUCAUGUCACAAGCUGCAGUUUCUAACUCUAGUAAGUCAUAUUCAUGCAUAAACAGUAUCAAACUGAACAAAUAAUUUGAAGGCUGCUCCAAAUCUUUAUUUCUUUUUCUUUUAUGAUCUAAAUGUACUCAUAGCCUAUUUUUAACCAUAUGAUUUUAUAGUACUGUUAUCCUUUAACUUAAACUAAUCUGUUCCUCUUUGUAGGGUUCACCAUUUAUAAAUAAUGAUGUAAUACUCACUUUCCUCAUCUAAACAAGCCAAAUCUUAGUGACAUCAUGAAAAUAACCGUGAAUUGCACAUAUCCUUAAAAAAAAAGUUAUGGAUUCAACACCUGAAGUGUAUUUAAAAGUAACAUUAUCUGCAAAGAUUUAUUUUAUAUGUAAUGGCAAUGUACUCUCUGUAGAGUCUAAAAAGUUGAUUUUAAUCCAGUUAAUGGAAUACUCAGAUAAAUACAAUUUUAGCUUAUUUUAGCAUUCAGAAGUGACGUCCAUGUUGUAAAAUGGAUACAGCUGAAUAUAGAAAAGACCCCUCUGGACCAUCUAAAUGCAGUAAAUAAAUAUCCUUGGGAAAUUCACUGUGACUUUGGAGCUUAGGAGGUCUGUACAAAGCUGCUCUCUCUGGUCUUGCAUAACAAGCCAGUCUGACCAAGGGUUGCUUAAAGAAGCCAGUGAAAAUCUAAAAAAUAUAAUUUCUGC